UCUUCAGUAUGACGCUAUACGCUUUAGAAACUUUCUUUAGUUUUGUAAUGUUUUCUUACAGUUUUUUCCGGGAUUUUAUCAACCUAAAUUAAUGCACUGACUAAUAAAGUAAAUUGUCAAAACUCAAACUUUAGAUUUUACUGGGGCACAGCAGAUUUAUACUGGGGCACGUGCCCCAGUAAAAAGGGUCUAACGACGCCCCUGGUCAGAAUUAUAUUAUCUUUUAGAGAUGAAUCAUCUGUUAUCAGCUUAGAGGUUUCCUUAUUGACUUCACCCACACCGGUCGAGCCAUGGUUUUAGUUGCAUAUAUGUCGCUAUAGCGACUUGGGCAAUAGAAAAGUUGCGUUUCUGUGAACAGGACAAAACUAAAUUGGUAAUGCCAAAUCAAGCCUCUUAGAAACAUGUUAUGAAUCGUAACCACUAGGGGGCAGUGAUGACUAAGUGUUACCAGUGAAUAAAUCAGGCACUUGACAAUAUAUUUACGAUUUUAUCUUGUUUAUUUAGUUUACCUUCAUUUAAACAGUGAUGCAUUUGGAAACUGAAGGUACUUUGCUGUAUAAGUUUGCAUUUCACGAUAGCAUUCUUUUGCUAAGUUUGUAGGCAAGUCAUGAUUCUUGUAACACUCUACACACAGGUAAAGUUCGAACCGUCCAGUUAUGUAGAGUUCUGUCACAGAAAACGCCUCAGAUGUUGGGUGUGGAGUUCCACUGGGAACCUAUUUUCCACACGCGGUGCCUGACGGUCCACAUACCUGCCUGGCCCCCAGCUACUGUAACAGCUGAAGAGCCAAUGUCAUGAGUCAUGUUCCGCAAAUGUACUCAACGCCCUUUCCAUUUUCUAAAGCUAUUACUGACACAGCAACUAUGCCUAUUGUUAACUAGUACACCACCGACAUAAAAGGCGAUGCGAGUUGAAGCGAUAAUGAAACAUGAAAUCAACCGCCCAGUUCUCCUCUGUAUUAAGAUAGCCCUACUAAAACAGUAUCCUGUUGGUUUCACAUUUCCAUUAUUCACUCAUAUUGGGUUGAAUCACAUUUUCAUCAUCCGACACUUUUAUGGUGGUCAUGCUCAACUACAGUAACGUGAGGUUAAGAUAAGGCCGAUCAUAUGAUCUGUGGAACAUCACUAGAAGAUGGUCUGACAGGCCUGUGAGUGACAGCUACUUUGUGGUUCAGACUGUCCAAUCAGGAGAGAUAGAACGGAGGUACGACCAAAACUCCUCUUUUCAUUGGCCAGGAAGGCAAGCUAAGGAUGCAUUCUAUUCAUACAUACACGUAAUAUGUCUGCGCUCAGAUGAAUGAAUGGCCACUACAAGGAGACAUUUAAGGGCAAACUGUUAUUGAUAACAAAAGCUAAAACUAACAAGUACAGAUAAUUAUUUUUACGGCAUUGUUAAAUUUCUAUGCGUCGCUGUAUAAGUGCAUGAUGCAAAUUAUCUUCGCUGACUCCAUCAUCUGUCAGGACGUUGGGAACAAACUGGACUGAGGAUUUCUCACCGACAAGACACAUUCAUUAUUUCAAAACCACCAAAUCCCGUGGAAUAUGGAUUUUGUUUUUGGGGGAGUGGCGGCCUGUGGGGCUUGUGUAUUUACAAAUCCUCUUGAGGUGGUGAAAACCCGCAUGCAGCUACAAGGAGAACUGAAGAGCAGGGGGUCAUAUCAAAUCUACUAUCGCAAUGUCUUCCACGCUUUUUACACUAUCGGCAAAGUAGACGGACUUGCUGGUUUACAAAAGGGCUUAGUCCCUGGACUCGUAUACCAAUUUUUCAUGAACGGUGUGAGACUCGGCUCGUAUGCUCUCAUCGAGACCUCCGGUUACAGCCAUACGGAUGGACGUGUCAGCGCAGCCAAGACCACCGUAGCGGGGGCCUUGGCUGGCGUGGCGGGCGCGGUGAUGGCGAGUCCCAUAUAUUUGGUAAAGACUCACCUUCAGAGUCAGUCCACCUCAUCUAUAGCGGUCGGACAUCAACAUAAACACCAGGGGAUGAUUCAAGCACUGGCAGCCAUCCACAAGCAGCAUGGCAUUCUGGGACUGUGGAGGGGCUCUAGUGCAGCGAUACCACGGGUCAGCGUUGGCUCGGCGGCUCAACUGUCCACAUUCUCCUCCUCCAAAGAGUUUGUCACAGAUUUACAAGAAGGAGCGAAAGGGAAGAAGGGAAAAGUGCCCUCCAGGAUUGCCACACAAAGGAGUACUCAGCAGAAACAGGACACCCCACACCCUCCUCACCCAGUCACGUGGAGAUAUUUCCAGAGGACAGCUGGCUGGUGGCUCUGACUGCUGGUCUGAUCAGCAGUGUUGUGGUGGUGUUGGCCAUGACACCCUUUGACGUGGUCAGCACUCGGCUCUACAACCAGCCAGUGGACCACUUGGGCAAGGGAGAGCUUUAUCGGGGGUUCGGAGACUGCUUCUCGCAGACGCUGAGGAAGGAGGGUCCGACGGGGCUCUACAAAGGCCUGGGGGCCUCGUACUUCCGCCUGGGGCCACACACCAUCCUGUCUCUGCUGCUCUGGAACGAACUACGCAAACUCUACCAGAACCACAGAUAGCCCAGGACACGAGAGGCUGUCAGUUGUAAAAAAUAGGUUACUCAUUAUGAUCCCGAGUGACAUAUAUCAAAUAUCCUCUCAUUUAAUGAAUGUAGUCCUGAGGGAAGAAAAGGGAAAGAGUUAUAGGAAGAUAUGCGAGGGAAGGACAUGCUUCAUGCACUCGAUUUGAAUAACUAUUCAGCUGUCCGGAAACAAGUAUGUACCAAAAUGAUACUGAACACUUGAAUCCUAUGACUAUGUUUUAACAGGUCUGAUGUGAGACACAGGAAAGAGGUAUACGGAAAUAUCCAUCAAAUCAAUAUUGCGUGGUCUAUUUAAGCUGAGGCAAAACGGAUUAUCUUGAAACCGACAGGUUGAGAUCUGUAUUUCUAUCACAAACCAUUUUGACUUAUAUCAUGUACUGUUAGUGCACAUCGUUAUCUGUUGUACAUUCCAAACAGUUCUCCACAUUUACGCACUCAUUUUUAUGUUUGAUUUAGUUAUUGUAGGAGCCAUGGAUUGAUUUAUUGUGAAUUGUGUUUAUUUUCGCAUAAUGUUAUAACUUUAGCGCUUGUAACUGAGACAGGUUUAUAGAAGUUUUUGGUCAUUCUUGCAACUUGCCUUACUGUCAAAAUUAAAGUGUUUUUGUGUUAGUGCCAUGGAUUGUCAAAAAUAAAAUAGGUGUACUUAUUUUUGACAAUACUGGCAGUAAAUACUGUUUCUAUUGAGAGAUCAUUUGUAGGACUGAUAAUACCUCAAUCAUUAAUAACGUUACUGAAACAUGUUACUGUUUAUGCAACUUUGCACCUGGGAAAUAAAGGAUUGACAUGAAUGUAACAUAACAUUAAGGUUAUUUUUGUUACAAAUGAAUAUAUGCAAUGCCACCUAAUCUCACAGGAGCAAAAAAUAAAAUAAAACCGAACAAAAACUA